UACGUAGGGUGCGAGCGUUAAUCGGAAUUACUGGGCGUAAAGCGUGCGCAGGCGGUUCGUCGUGUCUGGGGUGAAAGCCCCGGGCUCAACCUGGGAAUGGCAUGGGAAACUGGCGAACUGGAGUGUGGCAGAGGGGGGUGGAAUUCCGCGUGUAGCAGUGAAAUGCGUAGAGAUGCGGAGGAACACCGAUGGCGAAGGCAGCCCCCUGGGCUGACACUGACGCUCAGGCACGAAAGCGUGGGGAGCAAACAGG
rnacentral:rRNA from 1 species